GUUUGUACUACUUCCGACUGGCCGCACGCUCUCCUCAAGGCCUGGGUGCUUCCACGGCUGAAAUAUCAGCCAGAACCCUGCAGUCAAGUUCAAUUUCUUUUUGGAACUGUUGCCCUAGAGCAUAGUUGUGUUUAUCACAAUGGGGGUUCAUUGUGUCCAGGGAAGAUUGCUUUGUGUAAAGUAUUAUAUGGAAGUUUAUUUUUGAUGGAAAGUUUGGUGACUUAUAAUAAUACUAUGGUUUCCUCUUUA